UACGUAGGGUGCAAGCGUUGUCCGGAAUUAUUGGGCGUAAAGAGCUCGUAGGCGGUUUGUCGCGUCUGCUGUGAAAUCCCGAGGCUCAACCUCGGGUCUGCAGUGGGUACGGGCAGACUAGAGUGUGGUAGGGGAGAUUGGAAUUCCUGGGUGUAGCGGUGGAAUGCGCAGAUAUCAGGAGGAACACCGAUGGCGAAGGCAGGUCUCUGGGCCAUUACUGACACUGAGAAGCGAAAGCAUGGGGAGCGAACAGG
rnacentral:rRNA from 1 species